GGCCGGUUAGCUCAGUCGGUUAGAGCAUGGUGCUGAUAACACCAAGGUCACGGGUUCAAUCCCCGUUUGGUCCC
rnacentral:tRNA from 1 species